rnacentral:rRNA from 1 species
ACGCUAGCUACAGGCUUAACACAUGCAAGUCGAGGGGAAACGGCAUUUAGUGCUUGCACCGAAUGGACGUCGACCGGCGCACGGGUGAGUAACGCGUAUCCAACCUACCCAUUACUGUGGGAUAACCUGCCGAAAGGCAGACUAAUACCGCAUGGUCUUCGAUGACGGCAUCAGAUUUGAAGUAAAGAUUUAUCGGUAAUGGAUGGGGAUGCGUCUGAUUAGCUUGUUGGCGGGGUAACGGCCCACCAAGGCGACGAUCAGUAGGGGUUCUGAGAGGAAGGUCCCCCACAUUGGAACUGAGACACGGUCCAAACUCCUACGGGAGGCAGCAGUGAGGAAUAUUGGUCAAUGGGCGAGAGCCUGAACCAGCCAAGUAGCGUGCAGGAUGACGGCCCUAUGGGUUGUAAACUGCUUUUGUAUGGGGAUAAAGUCAAUCACGUGUGAUUGUUUGCAGGUACCAUACGAAUAAGGACCGGCUAAUUCCGUGCCAGCAGCCGCGGUAAUACGGAAGGUCCAGGCGUUAUCCGGAUUUAUUGGGUUUAAAGGGAGCGUAGGCCGGGGAUUAAGUGUGUUGUGAAAUGUAGACGCUCAACGUCUGACUUGCAGCGCAUACUGGUUUCCUUGAGUACGCACAACGUUGGCGGAAUUCGUCGUGUAGCGGUGAAAUGCUUAGAUAUGACGAAGAACUCCGAUUGCGAAGGCAGCUGACGGGAGCGCAACUGACGCUUAAGCUCGAAGGUGCGGGUAUCGAACAGGAUUAGAUACCCUGGUAGUCCGCACAGUAAACGAUGGAUGCCCGCUGUUGGUACCUGGUAUCAGCGGCUAAGCGAAAGCAUUAAGCAUCCCACCUGGGGAGUACGCCGGCAACGGUGAAACUCAAAGGAAUUGACGGGGGCCCGCACAAGCGGAGGAACAUGUGGUUUAA